UCUACAAUAGCUCAGUUGGUAGAGCAUGAGAUUCUUAUUCUCAGGGUCAUGGGUUUGAACCCCAUGUUGGGUGAAAGAU